rnacentral:lncRNA from 1 species
UGUGAAGACCUGAGGUAUCAGGGGUAGGGGUUGCUCUGCUUGUGUAAGUCCCAUAGUGUGAAGGCCAGAGAACCAAGAGAUGGUCAAGAAGAGAGAGUAAGUGUCCAAUGUCCCAGCUCAAGAAGAGAGAUCCAUCCAUCAAAGGAGAGAAAUCAAAGGCCAAGAGGUAAAGAGAGAAGGUCAUGGAAUCCUCCCAAACUUACAGUCUGACUUCUAGGGACCUCAAAAACAGGAGACGCUCAGGACCAACCGGGGCAUUGGCCUGAGCCCAGCUGCCUCCAGGCAAUUCUCCUCCUGCCCUGAUGGCUUUCAAAAGAGAAAUGCCUGGCAAGACCAACCCCGCCUCUUCCUUCUCCUUCUCGACCUACUCAAAGUAAAGAUGAGGAUGAAGACCCUUAAGAUGAUCCACUCCCACUUAAUGAAUAAAACUUUUGUGGAUAGCUAAGUUACUGCUAGCCAUCUGAUUAUAGCAAUGGCUUCCAGGAGCAUCACGACCUGUGCAGACUCCCCAGCAUCAUAACAGGAAGGUCCCACGAUCACGAGCACAUUGCCUUCAGCAUCCAGCACUGAAUAUGGUGAAUUGCACUCUGAAGAGCUUCCUAAGCUUGUAAGAAAGUGAUUCUGAAAAGCUCAACAUUUUGGUAGAAUGGAGAGAUUUGACAUUGCUUCUGCUCCAAAAGCAAAAGACUUGGGCCUGGCGUAAAGGAGAUGGGACUCACACCCAAGAGGAUGCAUUUCCAUACACCCAUUUCUGAAAUAUGAAGAGGUGUCCAGUCUGUUUGAUUCAUAGCUGCCUGUUCCACAACUGCAGAUACAGUAAUUGAUAACCGAGACCAAGUUCUCAUCCCCAUCUCCCAGGGCUGGAACUGGGGCUGUGUUUGGUUCUCAUAAGAUCAGUUCCAGUUUUAGAAACUGAGUAAAUUGUGGAGUAAAUAUUGCCAAGUGAUGGCUUUCUGCUGUAGGCGUGGGUCGCUGUUGGCCAUUUGCCUCAGCAUAUCACCAGCAAUGCACCUCAUUGCAUCACUGCAUUUCCAAUUACACCUCAAAGCACCACUGGUCCCCUGUCCACCCUCUGCCCUGCAGAGGUGGGUGUUCAGGGAGACAGAUCCAAAAUCUGGGCUCAGAAGAUGGAAAUGCCAACUGCUCUCAAUUUGAGAGUGGGGAUGAGACUUUUUGACUCAACUCUGGUUAAUUCAGCCAUGCUGUCAGAGCUGCUUUGAUGCAAGGACAUCUGAAUGCUAUCUGAAUGCUGCCCCUAAAAUAACAAAUUAAAAACAACAACAACAACAAAAA